rnacentral:rRNA from 1 species
AUUGAACGCUGGCGGCAGGCCUAACACAUGCAAGUCGAACGAGUGGCGGACGGGUGAGUAAUGCCUGGGAAACUGCCUGAUGGAGGGGGAUAACUACUGGAAACGGUAGCUAAUACCGCUUACCACAGGAUGUGCCCAUGUGGGAUUAGCUAGUUGGUGGGGUAAAGGCUCACCUAGGCGACGAUCCCUAGCUGGUCUGAGAGGAUGACCAGACAAACUGGAACGGAGACACGGUCCAGACUCCUACGGGAGGCAGCAGUGGGGAAUAUUGCGCAAUGGGGGCAAGCCUGAUGCAGCCAUGCCGCGUGUAUGAAGAAGGCCUUCGGGUUGUAAAGUACUUUCGGUGGGGAGGCGUUACCUGCAGAAGAAGCACCGGCUAACUCCGUGCCAGCAGCCGCGGUAAUUC